AACCUUUCAGGACACCACUGGCACUGAUAAUUUGUUGGCUUUUCCACACAAAGACUGUGUUGACCGAAAUGAUUUGUUCAAAAAUAUAAAUAUUAACCAGCAUUUCUCGACACAGCUUUUAAAACCACACACUGGAAGUAAUGGUAAGGUUAAUGGAACAGAACAUUUCACUUGCUAAUGAAAGGACCGUGCGAUGAAUUUAUUUUUAGAAAGUACAUUGCAGUAUCAGUACAAAUAUAUUUGUCUUUAAUAUUAUUAAUAUUUAUAAUACCAAAGGUUUGACAUAUACCAGAUUUAAGUUUUAUUAGUGAAAUAUAUGGUGCCCGACUAUCAGUAUCAAGCUAACUGAAAAGUCAAGUUGAGCAUGAUACUCAUAUGCCAAUUAAAUUUCAUUUUAUAUACCCAAUAUAUUUUGUUGACAAGUAAAAUUAUCUGGCAAUAAACAAAGUAAAAUACCAGGAUGAGAAAAUGUAUUGAGAAAAUGAGAAAAGGUGUUUUGCCCAGAAUAACUUACUUUAUAAUUUACUCUGUCUAAUAUGCCAGACAAUUUUACUCAUCGUGGUAGGGUCUGCCUAAAAC